UACAGAGGGGGCAAGCGUUGUUCGGAAUUACUGGGCGUAAAGGGCGCGUAGGUGGCCUUCUAAGUUGAACGUGAAAUCCCUGGGCUCAACCCAGGAACUGCGUCCAAGACUGGGAGGCUUGAAUCCGGGAGAGGGAUGCGGAAUUCCAGGUGUAGCGGUGAAAUGCGUAGAUAUCUGGAGGAACACCUAUAGCGAAGGCAGCUUGCUGGGACGACACUGACGCUAAGGCGCGAAAGCGUGGGGAGCGAACAGG
rnacentral:rRNA from 1 species